GCGUCUAAUAAAGAAAAAGAAACCAUCAACUUAGGAUGCUUCUUCUUGCACAUUUUAAAACCCAAAUUUUAACUUCACUGUCAAUAACAUUUUUAGAGAAAACAUUUAAAGCUAAGCCCAUAGCAUAUAAAUAUACAUUUUAUUUAUCCUGUGAACAAACUCCAAUGAUUUCUUUUACAGCAAAAGAUACAUUUAAAACACGUGGAUAAUAGCAUGCUUCCCUGUUUCUUGCUCCCACUGGGAGAAUUUUGAAGAUGGGGACCAUACCUUAAAGUUAUAGCUCUAGAUCUUAUUUAGUAGACAAAUGUUUACUAAAUAAAGGAAUAGUUUUCAAAUGAUACUUAAUUUCCCAAACAAUCCAUAUGCUAAGUGCUAAGAUUAUUCAAAGAUAAUUAUGAUUAAAUAGAAUAUGUUUACUAUUUUCUUAAAAAUUCACUAAUAUUCCUUAAACCAGUAUUUAUUGAGGACUUACUAUGUGUAGGACACUAUACUAGGAAGGAGGGAAAUAGAAAUUAUAAUGUCAUUCCCUUCCUCCAGGCGCUUUGGGUCUGGGCUGGGAAGACAUUAAACAAUGAAGUAGGUGCUGGCCAGGGGUGGGCAAACUUUUUGACUCGAGGGCCACAAUGGGUUCUUAAACUGGACCGGAGGGCCGGAACAAAAGCAUGGAGUGUUUGUGUGAACUAAUAUAAAUUCAAAGUAAACAUCAUUACGUAAAAGGGUAGUUUUAUUCAUUUCAAACGGGCCGAAUCCGCCCGCUGGCCCUCAUUUGCCCACGGCUGUCUAGACCAAAGAAAUACACAAAGUCCUAUGGACACAAAAGAGGAAGAAAUCAUUUCCACCUGUAUGGGAUAGGUGGGCGUGAGGAGGUCAAAGAGAGAGAUGAAGAUGUGGCCUAGGUUUUUAAGCUACUUUUGAAGAUUAGGACAGAAAGGGAGAGAAAACACUAAGUAUUAUAAGCACAACACACUGGGAGAGUCUCUGGUAGGUAAUUAAGACCGGCCUUUAGGCUUCCAGGCAGGAGUGGUGAGAGGAGAGGGAGGCAGCCGAACCCCCUGAGUCCUACCACCGGGAGGGCAGAGUCGAGGAGUCAGCAUAAAGGAUUUUAAGUAGCAGAUCUGAUAUGACUGAUUUUGCUGUAAAAUAAACCUUAUUUUAUAAAUUAGAAGAAGGUAGAGAGGCCAAAUUAAGGCUGAGAGGUCAGUUUUAGGAGGUUACUUAAAUAAUGCAACAAGAAAAGAAAGUGGCCUGAGAAGGCCUUGGCAAUAGGACUACAGCUGAAUUCAGCUCAAUGUUUACUGGUCACCUCCCAUAUUAGACACGGGGAGAAAAGGUGAAAGGGAAAGAAGCUACCUAUAUCUGUGCUCUAAGAAGCCUAGAUCCCUGAGGUUCCAGCUAGAGCUGCUGUUUUACAAUCCUAGCACAUCAACAAAAAUUCUUAUUUUAAUUGAAAUCUAGAUGUUAGCCAAAAAAAGUAACAACCCUCAGGAACAUUGCCCAGAUUCAGGUAUACUCACCUGUUUGAUAGGUGCUUACCUGGUUUAAACAAACGUUUAAUUAUGUAUGUCUCACCUGCCCACUGCAAAACCUAUUUUACGUCUAAGGUAAUUUCUAAAGCAUAAUUUAAGUCCACACUUAAUAAAUUUUCUUGUAUACAGGUGAGGUUAUUAGAUAGCAACAUAUACUUAAUAUUUGAAACUGUUUAACAUAAGAAGUCAUACUCAAUACCCUGCCCUUAAAUCAAGUAGUUUCGCAUUUACACUUUCCUCCUUGUUUUAUUGAAUAUUUAAUUUUUACUUCCUAUGAACAUUUUAUUAACAUUUCCCAGAGCACCAGCAUCAACCCCAAACUUCUCUUUUCAUGUACAGCAAGCAAAACAAGAACUGGUGAAAAACACUCCGUGAGCAAAAUCCACUAAUAUCCAGCCACCUGACAGUAUCGGGCCAAGUAAAUACUCUUCUAGGUCAAAGGCUGGAUUCUGCCUCAAGGUUUUGCAGCCCCCGCGCUUGACUUGCGACCAGCGUCCUACCUCCGGGCUUAAGACGGCGGGCGAAGGAAGUGUCACCCGCCCGCCUGGGACUCCCCGGGACAUCGGACUUUCAGUGCUAAAAACGGGAAGUCCCCGCGAACCGAGCCCAGGGGAUGCUGCUGUAAAGUCUGCCAAAGGUUAUGCACUCACGGUAGCUAAUGAUGGCGUAACAUAAUAAAUGUGAAGUUAAAAGUC